CCUACGGGAGGCAGCAGUGGGGAAUAUUGGGCAAUGGGCGCAAGCCUGACCCAGCAACGCCGCGUGAAGGAAGAAUGCUCUCGGGUUGUAAACUUCUUUUCUCAGGGACGAAGCAAGUGACGGUACCUGAGGAAUAAGCCACGGCUAACAACGUGCCAGCAGCCGCGGUAAUACGUAGGUGGCAAGCGUUAUCCGGAUUUACUGGGUGUAAAGGGCGUGUAGGCGGGAAAGCAAGUCAGAUGUGAAAGCCAUGGGCUCAACCUGUGGCCUGCAUUUGAAACUGGCUUUCUUGAGUACUGGUGAGGCAGACGGAAUUCGUAGUGUAGCGGUGAAAUGCGUAGAUAUUAGGAAGAACACCGGUGGCGAAGGCAGUCUGCUGGACAGCAACUGACGCUGAGGCGCGAAAGCGUGGGGAGCAAACAGGAUUAGAUACCCGAGUAGUC
rnacentral:rRNA from 1 species